GAACUGUUGUAUUGGACACAAGGACGCAUAAAAACUUAGUCCAGUGGCCAGUUGAGGAAAUCAAAUCAUUGAGACUAAGCAGCAAGAAAUUUGACAUGACUAUUGGACCAGGGACUGUGGUUCCGGUCGAUGUGGGUUCCGCC
rnacentral:sRNA from 1 species